CAGGAAGGCAGCAGAGUUCACCAUGUCCCCCCAAGUUCCAUUGUAGGAAACCCCCAGGCAUGAAAUUUGUAACUUGGCCUGGAGCUGUCAGGGACCUACUGAGAGACUGCUGAGAGCAAAGGCUACGAGAACCCCCAGGAACUGUUCUGCUACAGGGCAAGUCAGUUGGGUUCACCCAUGCCUUGACUGGUGAGCAAUUCCUGGAGGGCUUGGGAUGAGCCACAUUGUAGAAUUCUUCUCCCAGUGCUUGAGCAACUUGGAAUUCACUGGGUUUGGCUACUUCUGUCCCUGGGGGUCUCCUGAAUGUGCCAUGACCUCGAGCUGCAAGCAUCCUGCUGUGUGGGGUGGAGGUCCCUUCCCACAAGCACUGCAACAGCCCUCUGCAAACACUUUUCUGACAGCUUACAUCCCAUACCAGAUCUCAGAACAUGUCCUGGGAGCCUAAUAACUCCUCCAUGCAUCUCAUCCUGGAAACGAGCAGCAAGGCUGUGCAGCAUCCUGAUGGGCCAUGCAGCUCCCCUCUGCUCUAAAGGAGGGCAUCUGAGUCACAGUUUGGCAGCAGCGAGCAUGAAUUUCCUAUCUGAAGCGGAACUGUUGUACAGAAACAUCAGCGUGUUUUGCAGUCCACAUAGUAGGUCCUGGGCAGACACUCACACACCUUUGAACUGUGAUAAGGAGAAUAUUAUUACCCUACUGGUGGCCUGGUCAGAUAAGCUGUUUGCGAAGGACAGUCUGCAUUUCUUUCAAGCUCUCAUUCUGCUGCACCAGUAACUCCAGAUUCCAUUCCCAAGGAAAUCAGCUGCUUCUUAUUUGAAACUGCAAAGAGCAAUGGACAGUUUGGGGAGAGACCACGAUUAUUCCAACACUUCUCUGCCUUCCUCUACAGCCCACGAGGAGAACGCUGAGCCAGGGAGCAUGAGAGAAGCAAGCGGCAGAGGAGAGGCCAAGGUGCCAGGCGAGGAAAGGGCCGUGAGCAUGUCGUGGAGCCUGCACCACAGUCAAAACCACAGCCAAACCCUCAGCCCCCGAAGAAGGAGGAAGCUGAGAAGAUGUCCUCCGCGGCGAUGCAGCAAGCCGAGUCUUCCCAGAUGGACGUGCAGGACCUGUUUGCUGGGGUGCAGCUGUCAGAUCUGGAAGGGAUACUGGCCUCUGGGAGCCAGAGUCCCCUGGGUGAAGAGGAUAUGCUGAAGCUGGCAGACGAAAUACAAGAGGUCCUGAAUACUUCACUGGAAAAGAACGAACCAGAUAACGACAUGUACUCAUCAAGCCUAUUUUAAAGUUUUAUUUAAAAUAUAUAUGUAUUCUUCUAAUUUUUAUGACUAAGAAAUACUGAAAAGCCUUGCAGAGAGACUUAAAGUUGCUCCUUCCUCAGCAACAAUAAAAACCUGACUCUCUCUCCA
ensembl:lncRNA